rnacentral:lncRNA from 1 species
GGUUCAACGAGGAAAGGGCUUACGGGGAUACUAGGCACCAGAGACGAGGAAGGGGUAUAAGCGACGAAAUGCUUCGGGAGUGAAAAUAAGCAUAGAUCCGGAGAUUCCGAAUAGGUUAACCUUUCAAAUGCUGCUGAAUCCAUGGGCAGGCAAGAGACAACUGGCGAACUGAACUCUUAGUAGCAAGAGGAAAAGAAGCAAAAGCGUUCCCGUAGUAGCGGCGAGGAAAUGGGAGCAGCUAACCGUGAAAACGGGGUUGUG